rnacentral:piRNA from 1 species
UGCAUCAGGCAGUCAUCAAUACCUCUA